rnacentral:rRNA from 1 species
GACGAACGCUGGCGGCGUGCUUAACACAUGCAAGUCGAACGGAAAGGCCCUGCUUGCAGGGUACUCGAGUGGCGAACGGGUGAGUAACACGUGGGUGAUCUGCCCUUCACUUCGGGAUAAGCCUGGGAAACUGGGUCUAAUACCGGAUAGGAGCCAUUUUUAGUGGGAUUGUUGGAAAGUUUUUUCGGUGUAGGAUGAGCUCUCGGCCUAUCAGCUUGUUGGUUGGGUAAUGGCCUACCAAGGCGGCGACGGGUAGCCGGCCUGGGAGGGUGGACGGCCAACAUGGGACUGAGGUAAGGCCCAGAACCCCAAGGGGGGGAGGCGGGGGGAAAAUUGGAAAAAGGGGGGAAGGCCGAUGGCAGGAAGGCGCGGGGGGGAAGAAGGGCUUCCGGUUGGAAACCCUCUUCGAUCGGGAAGAAGCUUUUUGUGACGGUACCUAGAUAAGAAGCACCGGCUAACUACGUG